rnacentral:rRNA from 1 species
UGAGGAAUAUUGGUCAAUGGGCGAGAGCCUGAACCAGCCAAGUCGCGUGAAGGAAGACGGCCCUACGGGUUGUAAACUUCUUUUGCAAUGGAAUAAAAAGAGUUACGUGUAAUUCAUUGUAUGUACAUUGCGAAUAAGGAUCGGCUAACUCCGUGCCAGCAGCCGCGGUAAUACGGAGGAUCCGAGCGUUAUCCGGAUUUAUUGGGUUUAAAGGGUGCGUAGGCGGAUUGGAAAGUCAGCGGUGAAAGUUUGCAGCUUAACUGUAAAAUUGCCAUUGAAACUGUCAGUCUUGAGUGCAAAUGAGGUAGGCGGAAUGUGUUGUGUAGCGGUGAAAUGCAUAGAUAUAACACAGAACACCAAUUGCGAAGGCAGCUUACUGGGAUGCAACUGACGCUGAGGCACGAAAGCGUGGGGAUCAAACAG